UACAGAGGUGGCAAGCGUUGUUCGGAAUUACUGGGCGUAAAGGGCGCGUAGGCGGCCUUCUAAGUCAGACGUGAAAUCCCCAGGCUUAACUUGGGAACUGCGUCUGAUACUGGGAGGCUUGAGUGCGGGAGAGGGAUGUGGAAUUCCAGGUGUAGCGGUGAAAUGCGUAGAUAUCUGGAGGAACACCGGUGGCGAAGGCGGCAUCCUGGACCAACACUGACGCUGAGGAGCGAAAGCCAGGGGGGCAAACGGG
rnacentral:rRNA from 1 species